AUUUUUUUCCAUUCGUUUGCUCUUGAAAAUAAACAUGGAAUUAUUUUUAUUUGUGUAGGCUUGCUAUUCAAAGGCUUGAGAUUGCAAAAAGUGAUUUGCAGCACAUAAUUGCAAAGGAGGCUAGAGGCAAUGCUAUUUUACAAGCAAGCUUAGAAAGAAGGAAGCAAGCUCUGCACGAGCAGCGAUUGGCACUUGAACAAGAUGUUUCAAGAUUGCAAGAACAAUUGCAAGCUGAGAGGGAUUUUAGAGCGGCAUUGGAAGUUGGAUUGAGUAUGUCUUCAGGACAGUUUUC